UACAGAGGUCCCAAGCGUUGUUCGGAUUUACUGGGCGUAAAGGGCGCGUAGGUGGUCGGAUAAGUUUGAUGUGAAAUCUCCGGGCUUAACCCGGAAACUGCAUUGAAUACUAUUUGGCUGGAGGGUUGGAGGGGGGACUGGAAUUCUCGGUGUAGCAGUGAAAUGCGUAGAUAUCGAGAGGAACACCAGUGGCGAAGGCGAGGCCCUGGACAACUACUGACGCUGAGGCACGAAAGCUAGGGGAGCAAACAGG
rnacentral:rRNA from 1 species